rnacentral:lncRNA from 1 species
AUGGUGCUGCUGGCUGGGACCCAGCCACAGGGUGGCGGGGUGCGCUGCAUGACCCCGCCACCGCCGUCCCCACUCCUAGGCACCCAGGUCGAGGAGGACCGUGCUGACUGCAAAGAGUUCCAGGACUUCUCCAGUCUGCCCGACACCUGCAGCAUCGCCUGGGACGACUCUUUCUACCCUUUCCAGGAGGAGGAGGAGCAUGGUGUUGAGGGCUUGGAGAGCGUCCUGGAGGAGGGCGUCCUGGAGGAGGUCGUAUUGGAGGCGUGGGGCUGCUGCAGACGUUGGUGCGGCGGGGGGUGAGCGUUGAGAAGACGCAGGAGACUGACCACAAUGGCUAGACCGGCCUUGAUGUCGCCUGCUACCACGGCUUUGUGAAUAUACCCUGGUGGCCUUAGCUGAGUGCCACCACAUCGAAGUCAACUGGCAGGACAGGGAGGGGAACGCAACCCUAAUCAUAGCUGCACAGGCAGGAGCUGCCGCCCAGUCAGGGCAUGCUAUCAUCACCAACUACUUGUUGAACUACGUCCUGGGUCUUGACCUUGAAGGAUGGACGCGUUCGGGUUGAAAGCCGCCAUGCAGGGUGGAACCAGUGGCAUCCGAGCCCUGAGCUGGCAGGGGCGGGUGUCCACGCGAGGGCCCCCGCCGUGGGAUGCUGCCAGAGGAGUAGCCACUUACACGUCCGCCUCAUUCAGAGGCUCCUGGAGCGCCCCUGCCAGCAGCGGUUGGGGAAAAAGUACCAGCUUGAGCUGCCUCCGCUCCACGAGAGGGCGCCAAUGAUCGAGGGCUCGAAGAACUGCCUGCAGAGGGUCAGGGACUGCGAGCUGUCCGCGCUGACGCGGCGCUCCACCUGUGGCCCGGAGGACCGGGGCGCCCUGGACCACAUGGUCAGGAUGACCACCAGCCUCUAACAGCCCCGCCGUGGCCCUCGCGUGCCAGACUGUGUGCCCCCAGAGCUCCCUGGGCGUGGGGAAGAGGCGACUGGCGGUGCAGGAAAUCCAGACGGCUCAGGAAAUUCUGGCGACGCGGCGGGGGGUGGGGAGGCAGGCGCAGGAGGCAGGAGAAGCGGAGGGCGCAGAGUAGCACAAGCGGCCCUACCCAGAGGCCGCGGGUUCCCGGGAGGGCUCCCCAAGAGCCGGCCUCCCACCUGUCCCGCUGCCAGGGUCCUGGGGCUCUGCCGACCCCGCCCCACGGAAGGCCAGUCUCCUGCCCCUGCAGCGCCUGCGGCGGAGCAGCUUAUGGCCCGGCGUGGUGGUGCCCCGGAUCCGCCUCUGCAAGGCGCCCGCGCCCACCUUCCAGCCCCAGAGGCCGGCGUGGAAGGGCAGCACCAAGGACAGUGGCCACCUGCGGAUACCCAAGUGGCCUUACAAGGUGGCCACGGAGAAGAAACCGGAGGCUGAGGAGGCCGAGAAGAAGCGCCAGGCCAAGGUGCAGGAGAAGGGCCCGCCGCCCUGGAAGAAGAGGACGAUGGGAAGUUGACACUGGGAAUGGUAUGGAGCCCCCACUUCUACACUAAGCCUUGGGUGUCUGCUGCUUCCAGGUCACAAAUGGAUAUUUCUGGUCCUGACCAGCCACUACCACACUGUAACCGAUGCUCAUAGUCUCCAGGGAUGUGCAGAACAGCAAUGGCAGGACAGCAAACAACUGGCGAUUUCCCCAGGUCCCACGCUGUUCCGGAGUGGGCGUGUUGGGUCCCUGUUCCCAAUGUGUUCCAUCCUUACCCAGGUGCACAGGGUACCUUGGGGCCAGCACAGGGCUUGUCAAGUAAUGCUCCUGGUGUCCACAAAACAGCUCCAGAGAUACCUGCAUUUUGAAAAGCCUGCCAAGCCAACAAGUAUGGGGCAGGACCCAGAUUGCUUUGGCAAAUAUGAAGGUGAGCUGGCCACUUGCCUGGUGAGUAGAAGCUGCCUUUACCUGGCCAGUGUAUGCAACUUGAGAGAAAAUGACAAUUUCACGGGGGGGUUCUGGUGGGACUGGGAAGCCUGACCUUCCCCGGAGCUGUGGACGCGAGUCUGUUGUGGGUGAAAGAGAAGCCCCUGGGGUAAGGCCAGACCCCAGGCCUGAAAAGGAUGCAAAGCCUGCUGUUUCAGGCUGUCAGGAAGAAUCGUGGGUACAAAGUGAAUAUGAUGAAAUGCAUCCCAGAGAGGAAAUGAAUGUGCCCUCACUAAGAAGUGGGUCUGGCUGCCAGGUCUCUGGCAGCCCACCGGCAAGAGGACUACAACCCCUGCAGCCCUGCCAUCCACACUACAUGAUGUGGGGAGUCUGUCUCUUCACUCUUACCCUGGGGACCCAAGCCUGCUUUGAGGAGUGAGUCACAGCCCUGAUGUGUGCCUUGCAUUACUCUUUCCCCAGGUGUGCCCGGAGACUCACGCUUGCUCAUUUCUGUCCUGACACAUCUCGCUGGUCCUGCGGUGGUCAGAGUCCUCGUGUUCUGUGUCAGCUCCUAGACAUCAUUAGUCUUUCACGUGAUAAAGUAAUAGGAAGCCAUGAGAAAAAACCUUCCUCAAGUCCUAAGCAACAUGAUUUCCACUCAAAUGGUCUCAGAUAUCACACAAGCCUAACAGAAAGAACCCAUCUGCCUCUUCUGUCUGAACUAACUCGUAGACCCCAUCAUCACAGGCUGCGGCCCCAGCUUCUGUAGGCCCUUUCCCUGCCUUUCCUGGGAAGAAACCAAAAUUUCUACCUGCUGCCCACAUGGGGGGAACUGUCACAGCAGGAGGACAUCAAAACCAAUAUUCUUCUGAAGAAUCCAGUGUGCAUUGCCAGAAAAGCCAGUCUCUGGCAAUUCCUGAGCUCUAAUGAAUAAAUGUGUGGGAUCCACAGGGAGAAAAAAAGAUAUUUGGAGCGGUGGAUAAGAGCCUGCUUCAUUUGCUGUUCUGGAACACUCAGGAGCACGGGGCUCCCAGACACAGUGAGUCAGAGCAGCGGCACAUGCCCCAGUGUGUGAGCUCAGAGCUCAGUGCUCAACCCAUCACUCGACUAAAGAACAGAUUUCAUGACCUCGACCAUGGCCCUCCAGGCGGUUCUAGGCAGGUCCCAGCAAAAAAGUACUGGGGUAGAAACCAAGGACCAGGCCCACAGAAACAGGGACCCCAGGGGCUUGCAAGGGGGAGUGCUGACUGCCAGGAGGCUUUUCAAAAUGCAGGUAUCUCUGGAGCUGUUUUGUGGACACCAGGAGCAUUACUUGACAAGCCCUGUGCUGGCCCCAAGGUACCCUGUGCACCUGGGUAAGGAUGGAACACAUUGGGAACAGGGACCCAACACGCCCACUCCGGAACAGCGUGGGACCUGGGGAAAUCGCCAGUUGUUUGCUGUCCUGCCAUUGCUGUUCUGCACAUCCCUGGAGACUAUGAGCAUCGGUUACAGUGUGGUAGUGGCUGGUCAGGAAUGUCUGGCCACCCACCAAGGGUCAGAUGCCACAUCAGCCCGAGCGAAGCUGCCAGACACUGGCUGUUCCAAUGACAAUUAGACAUUCUUGAGAAGGUGGAGCCAUUUGUGAGAGCUCAAGAUGGGUGUCCUGGAAGUGCCACUUAAAGGCGACUGAGGCCUCUCAAAAUCCCUCUGUUAGAGCUGCAGCUCUCCAUGUGGGAUGCAGUGCAGUCACCUAUGGAGCUUUAGGACAGGCCCAGGGCUCAGCUCCCCAGACCAGUGCCUUCACAACUUUCGCAGCAGGGAUAGCCGGCUUGGAAAGGCAUGCCUGGGAGACCAUG